CCUACGUGUGGCUGCAGUGAGGAAUAUUGGUCAAUGGCCGGAAGGCUGAACCAGCCAAGUCGCGUGAGGGAAUAAGGCCCUAUGGGUCGUAAACCUCUUUUGUCAGGGAGCAAAGGCGUCCACGUGUGGACGAGAGGAGAGUACCUGAAGAAAAAGCAUCGGCUAACUACGUGCCAGCAGCCGCGGUAAGACGUAGGGGGCAAGCGUUAUCCGGAUUUACUGGGAGGAAAGGGAGCGUAGACGGCAGCACAAGUCUGGAGUGAAAUGCCGGGGCUUAACCCCGGAACUGCUUUGGAAACUGUGCAGCUAGAGUGCAGGAGAGGUAAGUGGAAUUCCUAGUGUAGCGGUGAAAUGCGUAGAUAUUAGGAGGAACACCAGUGGCGAAGGCGGCUUACUGGACUGUAACUGACGUUGAGGCUCGAAAGCGUGGGGAGCAAACAGGAUUAGAUACCCUUGUAGUC
rnacentral:rRNA from 1 species